rnacentral:rRNA from 1 species
ACGCUGGCGGCAUGCCUAACACAUGCAAGUCGAACGAAGCCUUCGGGCUUAGUGGCGCACGGGUGCGUAACGCGUGGGAAUCUGCCCUUGGGUUCGGAAUAACAGUUAGAAAUGACUGCUAAUACCGAAUGAUGUCUUCGGACCAAAGAUUUAUCGCCCAAGGAUGAGCCCGCGUCGGAUUAGCUAGUUGGUGAGGUAAAGGCUCACCAAGGCGACGAUCCGUAGCUGGUCUGAGAGGAUGAUCAGCCACACUGGGACUGAGACACGGCCCAGACUCCUACGGGAGGCAGCAGUGGGGAAUCUUAGACAAUGGGGGAAACCCUGAUCUAGCCAUGCCGCGUGAUCGAUGAAGGCCUUAGGGUUGUAAAGAUCUUUCAGUGGGGAAGAUAAUGACGGUACCCACAGAAGAAGCCCCGGCUAACUCCGUG